UCUACACUUCUUCAGAUCUUCUUCUUCUUCUUCUUCUUCUUCUUUUUCUUCUUGGGCAAUGGCAGGAUGGUAAUUUCCUCCUGCAUCCAAAAUACACACCCAUUUUGCCAUUGGGCAAAUCGGGAGGGAAACCUCAAACCCUUGCCCUUGCGUUGGGCCUUGACCAUGGAGGUAGAUGCGGUCUAUCAUUCACAACACCUUCGCCAACCGAUGUAGAUGAAGGGGAGGAUUGAUUAAAGCUGGGAAGAUGAAGGAUUGGGACCGUGGUCUCCGGAGAAGGAGGAUGCUGUCUUGAGCCGUUUCGUCAGCAAAUUUGAUGCCAAGGGAUUGGUCCCUCAUCGAUACAAGCAUCCAUGGCCGCUCUGGCAAGUCCUGUUACUCAAACGCUAGCCCUUCCUUUGCUGAGAUCAGAGGAAGGGGAUUUUGUUUUGUUUGCAUUGGCAUCUUGAUCAUUUAUUUGAGUUACUUAACUCCAGCCUUUUGAGCGAAUUCAUUGAGGUCGAAUGAUUAAAUUGAUAACAAUGUGAUACUCUGGAAGGUGCUACAAUAAAGAAGACAACAGGAUCUUCUGAAGAGACAACAUCUUAUGGAGACGUCGGUUCUUUGAAAUUGGUUGAAAGGAAUAGUUGUUCUUAAUUUAAAAAAAAAAACAAUAUCGGAUCAUUUUUCUGACAAACUUCGUAUGCCAGUCAAAUCCUUUACACAUGGGGUAGAAUACCCACAUUACUUGUACCAGCCUCCUAUAAUUAUUCACUUGAAAAGUCAGGUACUUCUUUUGUGUCAAGAUCUGUUCCAGUGAUUGGGCAAAGAUUCCAACCAUCCAUAUUCAGCUGAGCAAAUUGCCAGGCUGUUUGCAAGCCAGGUGCCACUCUGAUGUGGCUAUUGUUGCUGUGAAACUCCAAAGGAAAGCGCAUUGUAAAAAUAUUUAUUGGGGCCUCAGUUUCUUGAGUUUGUAAAUUCACAACCUAUUUCAAGCCAUGAAUUUCCUCAAUUGCCACAGACUUGAGCAGCAUUGCUUGGUAAAAAAAAAAAAGCGGCUUGCAGAGUCUGUGAACAGAGAGUGCAAAUUGCUUUCUCACUGAUGACAAGGUAGUUGACAUAAACAAGCUGUUUGAGUAAAAAUUGAUGAUUUGAGUGAGUCUUCCGUUACAUCACAAAGCAGGUGGAUUUGAACUUGUGAUCAUGGUGGUGACUGUUACUUUUUCUUUGUUCAGAGAGAGCUAUGGUACAUGGCAGAAAUGAUUUGCAGAAAUUUGAAGGUGAAUUCUGCAUGGUGUCAUUUGAAAACAGGGACGAAAUAGCUGCAUUUUAACACAAGUUCACGUGAGGCAGGUGGGUAUUGCAUUCUAUAUCUAUUAAUGAGAAAUGUGUACAUACCACUACUACUACGAUCGGAACCAGUCGUCCAGACUCCAGAAUAUGCCCAGAAAAGAGAUCCAGCCAGGUACCUCUGUUAUUCUGACGUGAUUAUUUCCUUGUCAUGCUCCACCAUAUCCACCAUAUCAUGUGGAAAUUUUCAAUCUCACUGAACUUAGCUUUGUUGUUAUUUGUGUUCUCAGACCGGGACUAGGAAAAUAUUAGUCCUUUUCUGUAGUAGCCUUGAGUUGAUUUGCAUUGGCUGCUGUCUUCAACUUUUUAUGCCAUUAGAAUCCACCACCAAGGUGUGAUUUUCUCCCUUGCUGUGAGUUUGUGGUCCUGCCAUUCAAGUUGUGUUGGUUCAGCUGGACCAGAUAGUGUUCUCAUUUGUUGGAAUGCCUAUAGCUGAUGGUAAUAUCGUACAUUUGUUUGUGGCCGAGAGAGUGAUGUGAUAGAUACAACACGGAAAAUGGUUUCCUCUUUCACUUGAUAUCUUCUAUGCACGUUCUUAAAUUCCACUUUGUUCAAGGUAAAUGAAGCGCAUGGUUCAUGGUCAGUGCCUUCUCAUUCCUCAUCAUUCUGCCCGCCCAUACGCCCAAAUAAAUCAUCUCUUGGGCCCCUAUCUCAUCAAGCUCCUUUUGCUUGACAUACAAGC